AUGCACGCUGGCGGCGUGCCUAAUACAUGCCAGUCGAGCGAACAGACGAGGAGCUUGCUCCUCUGACGUUAGCGGCGGCCGGGUGAGUAACACGUGGAUAACCUACCUAUAAGACUGGGAUAACUUCGGGAAACCGGAGCUAAUACCGGAUAAUAUAUUGAACCGCAUGGUUCAAUAGUGAAAGACGGUUUUGCUGUCACUUAUAGAUGGAUCCGCGCCGCAUUAGCUAGUUGGUAAGGUAACGGCUUACCAAGGCGACGAUGCGUAGCCGACCUGAGAGGGUGAUCGGCCACACUGGAACUGAGACACGGUCCAGACUCCUACGGGAGGCAGCAGUAGGGAAUCUUCCGCAAUGGGCGAAAGCCUGACGGAGCAACGCCGCGUGAGUGAUGAAGGUCUUCGGAUCGUAAAACUCUGUUAUUAGGGAAGAACAAAUGUGUAAGUAACUAUGCACGUCUUGACGGUACCUUAUCAGAAAGCCACGGCUAACUACGUG
rnacentral:rRNA from 1 species